rnacentral:rRNA from 1 species
GUGGGGAAUCUUGCGCAAUGGGCGAAAGCCUGACGCAGCCAUGCCGCGUGGAUGAUGAAGGUCUUAGGAUUGUAAAAUCCUUUCACCGGUGAAGAUAAUGACUGUAGCCGGAGAAGAAGCCCCGGCUAACUUCGUGCCAGCAGCCGCGGUAAUACGAAGGGGGCUAGAGUUGCUCGGAGUUACUGGGAGUAAAGGGCGCGUAGGCGGACAUUUAAGUCAGGGGUGAAAUCCCGGGGCUCAACCUCGGAACUGCCUUUGAUACUGGGUGUCUUGAGUAUGAGAGAGGUGUGUGGAACUCCGAGUGUAGAGGUGAAAUUCGUAGAUAUUCGGAAGAACACCAGUGGCGAAGGCGACACACUGGCUCAUUACUGACGCUGAGGCGCGAAAGCGUGGGGAGCAAACAGGAUUAGAAACCCCUGUAGUCC